GGAUGUGAGUGCGAUCUGGCUGCGACAUCUGUCACCCCAUUGAUCGCCAGGGUUGAUUUGGCUGAUCUGGCUGGCUAGGCGGGUGUCCCCCUCCUCCCUCACCGAUCCAUGUGCGUCCCUCCCGAAGCUGCGCGCUCGGUCGAAGAGGACAACCUUCCCCCCCCCCCCCGGAGGAGAGGACCGGUCUUCGGUCAAGGGUAUACGAGUAGCUGCGCUCCCCUGCUAGAACCUCCAAACAAGCUCUCAAAGCUAGCCAAAGAAUAGGUACUUUAUUGUCUAAUGUAAUCCACAUUUGGAUGCAGAAAGGAUUUGUUCU
ensembl:misc_RNA 7SK 7SK RNA